rnacentral:pre_miRNA from 1 species
UCUUAUGAGUGAGCAAAAAAAGUGAUUUUUUGAUAUGGAAUCUACUCCUGGUGAAGAUUCUGUGAA